AAUCAACGCUGGCGGCGUGCCUAACACAUGCAAGUCGAACGAGAAAGUGGAGCAAUCCAUGAGUAAAGUGGCGCACGGGUGAGUAACACGUGACUAACCUACCUCUUAGUGGGGGAUAACCUAGGGAAACCUGGGCUAAUACCGCAUAAUACCUACGGGUCAAAGCAGCAAUGCGCUGAAAGAGGGGGUCGCGGCCGAUUAGCUAGUUGGCGGGGUAAUGGCCCACCAAGGCAGUGAUCGGUAUCCGGCCUGAGAGGGCGCACGGACACACUGGAACUGAAACACGGUCCAGACUCCUACGGGAGGCAGCAGUGGGGAAUUUUGCGCAAUGGGGGAAACCCUGACGCAGCAACGCCGCGUGGAGGAUGAAGUCCCUUGGGACGCAAACUCCUUUCGAUCGGGACGAUAAUGACGGUACCGGAAGAAGAAGCCCCCGGG
rnacentral:rRNA from 1 species